rnacentral:lncRNA from 1 species
AUUUUUUUCUUCUUCUCAGCACCAACGGUGAUGGCGACAGUGACCAUUUUUUGCUUCUUCUCUACUUCACAUUUCACGACAAUGACGACAAAGGGGUGUGAAUGCUGCUUCUUAUCUGCUCACACUCCCGUACACCGUAGGUGACGAUCUGGUGGCACCCAUUCCCAAGACAAUGAUUUGGUGGCACCACAGGCGGCGAUCUAGUGGCUUCCACUCCAAGACCUCUGAUCUGUUAUUCGUUCUCUAUGGAUUUGAGGUGGUGGUGGUAGCAGUGACAGAUUUGGAGUUUUUUGUUGUGUGGUAGUUUUGGUGUGGUGUGGUAGAGAUGGAGAUGGAGAUGGAAGUCCUAUGUUCUCGCUGGUGAUUGUUUUGGUUGUUAGGUUGUUACUGGUGGUAGUGGUAGUGUAAUAAUUGUGGUGGUAGUGGAAUGUUAUAGUGGUGGUUGUUGGUGAUCGAGGUGGUUGUUGUAGUUUUUGUUUGUGUGAUGUUGUGGUGUUGGUGGUAGUGGUAGUGGUGGUGCUGUUGUGGAGGUGGAGGCAGUGACGAGGUAAGGGUGGUCGCAAGUAGUCG